UGGCGGACGGGUGAGUAACGCGUGGGUAACCUGCCCUGUACAGGGGGAGUAACAGUUAGAAAUGACUGCUAAUACCGCAUAAGACCACAGCACCGCAUGGUGCAGGGGUAAAAACUACCGGUGGUACAGGAUGGACCCGCGUCUGAUUAGCUGGUUGGUGAGGUAACGGCUCACCAAGGCGACGAUCAGUAGCCGGCUUGAGAGAGUGAACGGCCACAUUGGGACUGAGACACGGCCCAAACUCCUACGGGAGGCAGCAUG
rnacentral:rRNA from 1 species